UCUUUGCUACCGUAGUGGACUUCGGAACUUGGCAGAAGGUUCUGUGUUCUGUUCCCAGUCUUCAACCAGAGGCCAUGGCGACGACUGCCUCGGCAGCUACAGCUUCAAUUGCAUACACAACGUUUCUUUCUUCCUCGAAACGUACGCCAUCUCUCUUAACUAACGCUUCAAGCUUAAAUUUCAGAACGCCUACCACCUAUUUGAUCAAAACCCCACUCAAGCAGGCUUCUCCAUUGCCACCUUCAUAUCUAGUCCCUCUGCGUGCGUCUAGCACCCCUUCUUCCACAACUAACACCUUCCACGGUGUCUGCUAUGUUGUCGGUGAUAACAUCGACACUGACCAAAUCAUCCCCGCGGAGCAUCUUACUCUUGUGCCCUCCAACCCCGACGAGUAUCGGAAACUUGGAUCUUACUCUCUCGUCGGGCUCCCCUCCACAUACACCACCCGCUUCGUCGAGCCUGGCGAAGAUAAAUCCCGCUUCUCAAUUAUCAUAGCUGGCGACAACUUCGGUUGCGGAUCGUCUCGGGAGCAUGCACCGGUUGCCCUUGGUGCUUCUGGGGUCAAGGCAGUGGUGGCCGAGUCCUAUGCGAGGAUAUUCUUCAGGAACUCGGUUGCGACAGGCGAGAUUUACCCGGUGGAGUCGGAGGUUAGGUUGUGCGAAGAGUGCUCCACUGGAGAUGUGGUCACUAUCGAGAUUUCUAAGAACCUAUUGAAUAAUCAUACUACUGGGAAGGAGUACAAGUUGAAACCGAUUGGAGAUGUGGGGCCUGUUAUUGAGGCUGGAGGAAUUUUUGCUUACGCGAGGAAGACUGGGAUGAUCCCAUCGCAUUCCUCUUAGAACUGAGGCUCAGGUUCUUGUUGCUGCCGGCGGCGAUGGUACAUCUUUCCGAGGAAUGCGUCCAUAACACACCCUGAAUACGACAGUAUUCUUCUUUUACAAUUUUCAUCUCUGUAGAAUCUACACCAGAAAGCCUGCCUUAGUACAAGAAUAACAAGCUUCAACUUCAAAAGAUACAACAGUAUCACGGGAUCUUGAGACUGGGUGAUUUAUAGGAUGCAUUGGAAGGAUAACUGUCGCCAUCCUUUUAUAGACGUGUUAUUUUCUUUGUUUGACUUCUUAGUUAUUUGUUUUGAAGUUAUGUCGUUGAAAAUUCGGUUGUAUCCUUUUAUCAACAUGGAUUUAGUGGAUCUUAGAGAGAAUUGGCCUGUAUGAAGAAUGUUAGAUCUGAUAGGCGGUGUUUAUCUUCUUAUAAAUUAAGGACGUUACAAUUAUAAAUAAAUGCCUUUAGUUUAGUUUAUAGUUUUGCUCCUAUUAUGUAAACCGUCAUUCCAUUGGUCCACAUUAAAGCUCGGUACAAAUAGAUUUCACA